rnacentral:rRNA from 1 species
UACGUAGGGGCCGAGCGUUGUCCGGAGUUACUGGGCGUAAAGCGCGCGCAGGCGGCCACGUUGGCCUGGCGUGAAAGCCCCCGGCUCAACCGGGGAACGUCGUCGGGGACCGCGUGGCUUGAGGACGGCAGGGGCUGGUGGAAUGCCCGGUGUAGUGGUGAAAUGCGUAGAGAUCGGGCGGAACACCCGUGGCGAAGGCGGCCAGCUGGGCCGUUCCUGACGCUGAGGCGCGAAGGCGUGGGGAGCGAACGGG